UACGGGGGGAGCAAGCGUUGUUCGGAUUUACUGGGCGUAAAGGGCGGGUAGGCGGCCACCGCAAGUCAGUUGUGAAAUCUCUGGGCUUAACCCAGAAAGGUCAACUGAUACUGCGGGGCUAGAGUGCAGAAGGGGCAACUGGAAUUCUCGGUGUAGCGGUGAAAUGCGUAGAUAUCGGGAGGAAUACCUAUGGCGAAAGCAGGUUACUGGGCCAUCACUGACGCUGAGCUGCGAAAGCUAGGGGAGCAAACAGG
rnacentral:rRNA from 1 species